rnacentral:lncRNA from 1 species
CUUGGGCCCAUUUUUAUUACCUUUCAGGUUUUACUUUUUUUGGGGGGUCAUUCUUCCUUGAUUACAAGAGAGAUUUAGGGGACUGCUUUUACACAUCUCACAUACUGACUUCUGCCUCUUGGAUUUUGCUUCUCUUGGUUCCUGAUGCCAAAUGGGGCUGGGAUAGAAAUGCCAGGAUGAAAGUUUUAAGGAGGGAGGAUAGAUUUCAAGAACAAACCAAGAAAAUAUCAGCAGGUUAUGUUCUAUGAAUUGUGGCACCUUAGAGUGAGAGGUGCUUCCCUACACCUGGUGGUAUCUUCAGCACAGGUUCCACCAACACAGCCUCCUCCAAAGCUAAAGCAGGAAUCUCUGGAACCAAUCUCUCCAGAACCCAGGAAAGGAAGGCCAGCUACUCACCCAUCCAAGAUGAACUCCAAAGGAGAAGACUGAAGGCCAAGUCCCAAGGUGAAAUCCUCCAACUACUGAAGUACAAAGGAGAAGAUCCAGGAGCAGUCCUCCAAGAAGCAAUCCAAGAGCCAAGGUCAAAGUUCCAAGGUCCCUUGGACAGGAAGUUCAGGACUUUUUAUAGUCCUUUUCCCACACCACUUCCUGUCCCUUCCUCCACUUUAUAGGAACCAAUUGCAGCCUUUCAACUUGCCUAGCACUGCCCAGGGGCAGGGCAGUAGCCUCUGGAGUUGUCACCCACUUUAGCAAGUGACUUGCGAAUUCUCUUACUUAGUGUUAAGUAGAGAUGUUUCAUUGUUAUAUUGAUUAAUUUAAAAGUUGCUGAUUGAUAGACAAAGAAAGUUUGAUUCACUCUUCACUAUAUAUUGUAAGGGGUAAAUAUAUAUAUAUAUAUAAAAUUUAUCUAUGAACUCCUUAAGGUUCACAAAAUGGUUUACAGCUCAUUUUGCUGUUGGCACCCCUUGAUGUAUAUGUCUUUGGGAUAUAUGAAGUUCUGAAUGAUAUGGGCCAUGAACCCCUGGGAGGCAUGUUCACCUUCAUGGCAUGCCAUCUCAUUUGUUCUUUCCAGGUCUCUUUUUUUCUCAUCCAUAAAAUGAGAAGGUUGGACUAAUAUGUAAUGGAAAGAACAAUGGAUUUGAGGUUAAAAGAUAUGGAAAACAUGGACUUCAAUCCUAGACCUGCUAUUCACC